rnacentral:rRNA from 1 species
CCUACGGGAGGCAGCAGUGGGGAAUAUUGCACAAUGGGGGAAACCCUGAUGCAGCGACGCCGCGUGAGUGAAGAAGUAUUUCGGUAUGUAAAGCUCUAUCAGCAGGGAAGAAGAAAGACGGUACCUGACUAAGAAGCCCCGGCUAACUACGUGCCAGCAGCCGCGGUAAUACGUAGGGGGCAAGCGUUAUCCGGAUUUACUGGGUGUAAAGGGAGCGUAGACGGAGAAGCGAGUCUGAAGUGAAAGCUCGUGGCUUAACCACGGGACUGCUUUGGAAACUGUUUGACUAGAGUGCUGGAGAGGUAAGUGGAAUUCCUAGUGUAGCGGUGAAAUGCGUAGAUAUUAGGAGGAACACCAGUGGCGAAGGCGGCUUACUGGACAGUAACUGACGUUGAGGCUCGAAAGCGUGGGGAGCAAACAGGAUUAGAUACCCUGGUAGUC